AGGCUUAUUUCAGUAGCACAUAGAGUAAAACUUGAACAAUACAGAGAAGAUUAGCAUGGCCACUAUGAAUGGAUGACACCCACAUUUGUGUAGUUUUCCAUAUUUAU
ensembl:snRNA U6 U6 spliceosomal RNA